CUGCUGGAGGAACCAGUAGUUCUGGCAUUGGCUGAAAAGUAUGGUGGAUCUCCAGCUCAGAUCUUGCUCAGGUAUGGGGCAGUCUUAGGGAGAGGGCACUGGGUUGGGAGGCAAGGGUUAAGGGAUUUCUUAUUUCAGUGUCUAGGUGAGGCUGAGGAUCUUGCCUUGUGAUCUGGAGGGAGGCCACUAGGCAUAUUUCCCAUUUCAGCAGGGCUCAGGUGCUCCAGGACCUUAGGGAAGGCUGCAUGGAGAACAAAAUAGUGCUUAUGAAUACUGACCCCUUUUCCUCAUCUGUCUAAUCCCCCAACUUAGAUGGCAGGUCCAGCGGAAAGUGAUCUGCAUCCCCAAAAGUAUCACUCCUUCUCGAAUCCUUCAGAAUAUCAAGGUGUUUGACUUCACCUUUAGCCCAGAAGAGAUGAAGCAGCUAAAUGCCCUGAACAAAAAUUGGCGAUAUAUUGUGCCUAUGCUUACGGUGGAUGGGAAGAGAGUCCCAAGGGAUGCAGGGCAUCCUCUGUACCCCUUUAAUGACCCGUACUGAGACCACAGCUUCUUGGCCUCCCUUCCAGCUCUCCAGCUAAUAAGGUCCUGCCACAACGGAAAGAGGGAGUUAAUAAAGCCAUUGGAGCAUC
rnacentral:sRNA from 1 species